rnacentral:rRNA from 1 species
CGACCGGCGCACGGGUGAGUAACGCGUAUGCAACUUACCUAUCAGGAGGGGGAUAACCCGGCGAAAGUCGGACUAAUACCGCAUGAAGCAGGGGCCCCGCAUGGGGAUAUUUGCUAAAGAUUCAUCGCUGAUAGAUAGGCAUGCGUUCCAUUAGGCAGUUGGCGGGGUAACGGCCCACCAAACCGACGAUGGAUAGGGGUUCUGAGAGGAAGGUCCCCCACAUUGGUACUGAGACACGGACCAAACUCCUACGGGAGGCAGCAG